CAUCCUUUAUGUUUGACAAAGGACCUUUCCUUUCCUUUAAUAUUUACCCCACAUGCAGUGUUUAUUCUGCAGUUGGAAAGGAGAUUCAUCUGCUGUGCCUGUUCUAGCAAACCCUUGGAAUUGCCAGCAGCAAAUGUAAACUCCAGUGUGACCUCCUGGGUCCGUAAAGCCUGUUGCCCUCAAUCGUACUCUGCUGUUUUAGUUUUUUAGGAUUCCACAGAUGCCAAAAGUAAUCUUAGUUUACAUUAAGUACAGGCAGGCCAAAGACACUCUGCUGAAGCCAAGAGAACUACUUGCACAAGUAGGGCCUACUUGCAGGGAAAGGAUUACUGGUAGAAAUAGGGAUUAAAAGACUGAAGCCAUCAGACUGUAAGUCUCUCUUUUGCUGUGUCAAGUCUUGAUUAUGUAAACUGGCCAGUGGAGCUGAAAGACUCCCAGGAUGACGUUUCCUGGGGAUCAUAGCCCCACCUACAUUCGCUCAGGGUUACGCUUGGGGCUUUUAAAGUUUUUGUCAUUUUGGAGGACACCCAAGCCUAAUUACAGUAGGGACUGGGGGCUGCCAAAAGCACAGAAGCUGUUCAAAAUGUCUUCAUAGUGUAAUACUGCAAAAGUGGCUCACUGAAGCUGAGCAGUUGGUCCAGGCUCUGGCUCCCCACAGAGGGGUAUAUUAAGGAGUGAGGCAGUGACAAAGCACAGGUGGCAGUGACCCUUUCAGGGCUGUCACAACACCCUGCAUCAGAAUAGAGUGUGCACUAGCUGGCUGACACAAGGGUCCUCCAAAGCACAUGGGGGACAAGGUCACAAACAGGUGCAGGGUGACCCAGUAUGUUAAUGUGAGACAUUUGCAGCAGAGGGGGAACACUGCUGUGUUGAAUCGUGUCACACAGCCACUGCUUUGGCCCAAUGACUUGGUUACAGUCUGGGAUGCUGCCCUGCCUCCUGCUUGUUAGCUGGGACACAGGGAAUUUUGCCCAGAUCAUGACCUAGGAGCGUGAGAUAGAGUGGCUCUGAUCUCUUUCUUUGCUUCUUUCCUAAUUUCAACUACAAGCAAGUCUGCCUUUUAUGAUUCAUCAAUCACCAGUGAACUCUGGUCUUCUGUGUAGGGGUGGAUAUCAGAGCCCUGAUGUCUGUGCUGGAUGGGGGCUACCUCUGGGUAGGACUGUCCUGCACACAUUGCCUCAAUCCUGGUUUCUCUCUGGCCAUGCACAAUGCUCCUAGGGAGGACCUGCAGCCUGCUAAAAACCGCCAUGCUGGCAGGAGCCACAACCUGCAUGGGAUGGGAUGGGGCAAUGGGGAAAAGGUCCACACAGGGAUGGAGAUGAGAGGCUUUUCCUAGGAGCCUCCAGCAACAGCAGCUUUUCAAACCCCCACAUACAUGCAAGCCAAUAUUUCAGUGCCUGCAGGUUGCCAUGGACAACCAAAGAUUUCUAAACUGCAGAGCCCAAACACCCCGUACACUGCAGUAACACUUGACACUGCUGUUACCAAGAGCUCCAUGUUGGAAAGGAAGGAAUCCUGUCACCACUUGUCACCUGAAGAGGCUCCGAUCACUAUGAGGAUGCGAUUGGGUGGCAUCUGCAUCCAGCCUCCUUGGAGCAAUGGACUGAGGCACUGUCCAGAGGGGGUGUGAAAGGAGGACACAGAAGCUCAAACUGAUAAAUGAAACAGAAAAAAACUUCCCACAGGACACUGAAAUUAUGGUUCUGCUGCUCAUGCUGCUAGUAUCAACUCCAUUAAAACAACCAUCUACUUUUCUCCUUCGGA